AUUGAACGCUGGCGGCAGGCUUAACACAUGCAAGUCGAGCGAGCGGCGGACGGGUGAGUAAUGUCUGGGAAACUGCCUGAUGGAGGGGGAUAACUACUGGAAACGGUAGCUAAUACCGCAUACUAUCAGAUGUGCCCAGAGGGGAUUAGCUAGUAGGUGGGGUAAUGGCUCACCUAGGCGACGAUCCCUAGCUGGUGUGAGAGGAUGACCAGCCACACUGGAACUGAGACACGGUCCAGACUCCGACGGGAGGCAGCAGUGGGGAAGAUUGCACAAUGGGCGCAAGCCUGAUGCAGCCAUGCCGCGUGUGUGAAGAAGGCCUUCGGGGUGUAAAGUACUUUCAGCGGGGAGGCGUUACUCGCAGAAGAAGCACCGGCUAACUCCGUGCCAGCAGCCGCGGUAAUUC
rnacentral:rRNA from 1 species